GUAGGAGUUACAUUGGCAAAUCCGUGUAGCGAUCCGAAGGCGUGAUGCAUAGCGAAAUUUAGUAGCGAAUUGUGUGAGCCAGCUGUCAAGAAAAGCCGCUAUUGUUUGUACAGUACCCGUACCGUAAACCGACACAGGUGGAUGAGGAGAGAAUCCUAAGGCCGACGGAAGAAGCAUUGUUAAGGAACUCGGCAAAAUGACCCCGUAACUUCGGGAGAAGGGGUGCCCUGUGAAAGCAGGGCCGCAGUGAAAUGGCUCAAGCAACUGUUUAGCAAAAACACAGGUCUAUGCAAAACCGAAAGGUGAAGUAUAUGGGCUGACGCCUGCCCGGUGCUGGAAGGUUAAGAGGAGAGGUUAGCGCAAGCGAAGCUUUGAAUUUAAGCCCCAGUAAACGGCGGCCGUAACUAUAACGGUCCUAAGGUAGCGAAAUUCCUUGUCGGGUAAGUUCCGACCCGCACGAAAGGCGUAAUGAUUUGAGCACUGUCUCGACAAUGCAUCCGGUGAAAUUGAAGUACCAGUGAAGAUGCUGGUUACCCGCGCCAGGACGGAAAGACCCCAUGGAGCUUUACUCCAGCUUGGUACUGGGAUUCGGUAUUGCAUGUACAGGAUAGGUGGGAGACAAGGAAAUGGUGACGCCAGUUGCCAUGGAGUCAAUGUUGGGAUACCACCCUUGCAGUAUUGGAUUUCUAACAUGUGCCCGUGAUCCGGGCAGUGGACAAUGCCAGGCGGGGAGUUUGACUGGGGCGGUCGCCUCCGAAAGGGUAUCGGAGGCGCCCAAAGGUUCCCUCAGAAUGGUUGGAAACCAUUCGCAGAGUGCAAAGGCAGAAGGGAGCUUGACUGUGACACCGACGGGUGGAGCAGGUACGAAAGUAGGGCUUAGUGAUCCGGUGGUAUUAAGUGGGAAUGCCAUCGCUCAACGGAUAAAAGCUACCCUGGGAUAACAUGCUUAUCACUCCCAAGAGUUCACAUCGACGGAGUGGUUUGGCACCUCGAUGUCGGCUCAUCGCAUCCUGGGGCUGUAGUAGGUCCCAAGGGUUGGGCUGUUCGCCCAUUAAAGCGGUACGCGGGCUGGGUUCAGAACGUCGUGAGACAGUUCGGUCCCUAUCCGGCGUGGGCGUAGGAUAUUUGAGAGGAGCUGUCCUUAGUACGAGAGGACCGGGAUGGACUGACCUCUGGUGUAUCGGUUGUUCCGCCAGGAGCAUGGCCGAGUAGCCAAGUCGGGAAGGGAUAAACGCUGAAGGCAUCUAAGCGUGAAGCCCCCCUCAAGAUGAGAUAUCCCAUAGCACAAGCUAGUAAGACCCCUUGAAGACGACGAGGUAGAUAGGGCAGAGGUGGAAGCGCAGUAAUGCGUGAAGCUGACUGUUACUAAUAGGUCGAGGGCUUAACC
rnacentral:rRNA from 1 species